rnacentral:rRNA from 1 species
UACGUAGGCAGCGAGCGUUGUUCGGAGUUACUGGGCGUAAAGGGUGUGUAGGCGGUUGUUUAAGUUUGGUGUGAAAUCUCCCGGCUCAACUGGGAGGGUGCGCCGAAUACUGAAUGACUAGAGUGCGGGAGAGGAAAGUGGAAUUCCUGGUGUAGCGGUGAAAAUGCGUAGAUAUCAGGAGGAACACCGGUGGUGUAGACGGGUUGCUGGGCCAACACUGACGCUGAGGCGCGAAAGCCAGGGGGAGCAAACGGG